GAUGAAGAACGUAGCGAAAUGCUAUACGUAAUGUGAAUUGCCGAAUUCAGUGAAUCAUCGAGUCUUUGAACGCACAUUGCGCCCCCUGGUAUUCCGGGGGGCAUGCCUGUCCGAGCGUCAUUGCUGCCCUCAAGCACGGCUUGUGUGUUGGGCCUCCGUCCUCCUCCCGGGGGACGGGCCCGAAAGGCAGCGGCGGCACCGCGUCCGGUCCUCGAGCGUAUGGGGCUUCGUCACCCGCUCUUGUAGGCCCGGCCGGCGCUUGCCGACACAUCAAUCUUUUUUCCAGGUUGACCUCGGAUCAGGUAGGGAUACCCGCUGAACUUAAGCAUAUCAAUAAGCGGAGGA
rnacentral:misc_RNA from 1 species